rnacentral:tRNA from 1 species
GCUGUGAUGGCCGAGUGGUGAAGGUGUUGAACUAGAAAUCCAAAACGCCCUGUGUGCGUUCAAAUCCUGCUCACAGUG